UGAACUGUGACAUAUUUGAGUAAAUGACAAUAAAGCUCUAUAUCUUGUAUUUACUUCUUUAAACUGUAUUGCUUGAUUUCUGUGAUGCUUCCUUGUAUUUGUGUUACUCUCUCCCAUCGGCAGCGCUGGGUUAGGGUUAGGUAACUUUUGUUCUUAUCCCGCCAUGUUUCCCACUGUACCUACAACAGCGACUGGCCACGUAUCAUGCCGAUGUUAAAGAACAGCUUUUUUCGUCUGUGUCUGAUGCUGCAGGUCACUGCCCAAGCGCCGGAUUUUGAUGGCUUUGGAAUGAGACUGACACCCAGUCUCUGACCAUCCAGCACUGACAGAGGGUUCCUGAAGUGUCAUCGUCUGGGGUCACCGACCAAGUUUCAUAAGCCAUGGACAAAAGUGUGCUGCUGGUCCUGCUGUGUCUGCAGGCUCUUGUGCUCAUCACAGCCUUCAAUUCUACUGAUCCAACCACUCUGGAGAGAAAUGAUCUUCAGCAACAGGCUGUUGUUGUGGUGAAGAUUUGGACAAGAAAAUACAAAUCAAAGAAGAAAAAGCCCAAACAUGGAGGAUGUCAUGGGAGACCAGGGGCAUGUGGCUUCCCGGACCAGUAGUGUCUUGAUGGUAUACUGGAGCAAUACACCGACACCGUGUUCCCACUUGACAACCAACUAAAAAUCACCCCAAGAACAGAUCUCAUCACAGAAAAUGAUACUGCUUAUUGGUUCAUAAUUGUUGCGUAUGUUUUCUAUUUUGGAUGUAAAAGUAUAGUAAUCUACUUUGUUCCCCACAACCUUGUAAUUCGUUGUCUUCUUGCUGAUCUUAUCUAACCUCAAUGAGUUGCUUGUUUCGAAAUCAGAAGCAGAUCAUGACACAUACACUUACAAUAUUAAGGUAUCUUCUGACUCACCAGCCCUGCUAAAACUCAUUAACACUUGAUAUCUCCUUUGUUUCAUCUGUGGAUACAUUUUAAAAAGUGUAAAAGCAACAGUUUCAUGGGGGAGGUUUGGCUGAGAGCAUCACUACUGUGGAGUCUCCGCUUUAAUGACAAAUUGGCAUGUUUACACAGACUGAUCAAACGAGAUACACUGUGUUAAUUAGUGAGCUUUAGAGGUGUUGGUACCGUAGGUGGAUUUUGUUUCUUACCUUUGUACAGAGUGAGGCUAUAGCUGUUUCCACCCUAAGCUAACUCUCUGCUGGUUGUAGCUUUUUAUUUACCACAGAGAAGACGGUGGUGUCAAUCGUCAAUCUUCUCAUGUAACUACUACUUUGUUAGAUGAGGUACAUUUGCAGAACAAAUAAUCUUCUGUAAACAUGCCGUGUUUCCUAGUGACACAGACUUCAUAUCAGUUAAAUAAAUGUAUCAGCUAAAUUAAAAGAUUCAGGUCUUUAGAGAUACCCUGUGCUUACAAAUGUCUGCUUAUGAUCUGAUGUUCCAAGUGCUUCAUAAUGCAGCCACAAGAUGGAGCCAGACAGCCUUGUUUUUUAUACCAACAGCAGCAGCAGUUCACUUUGUGUUUUGAUGUAAAGUAAUUUGGUUUAAAUAAAAGUCCAUGU